CCGAAAGGCAGGAGUGCCCGCAAGGGAGCGCGGAGACAGGUGGUGCAUGGCUGUCGUCAGCUCGUGUCGUGAGAUGUUGGGUUAAGUCCCGCAACGAGCGCAACCCUCACCCCUUGUUGCCACCAGGUGAUGCUGGGCACUCUAGGGGAACUGCCCCGGUCAACGGGGAGGAAGGCGGGGAUGACGUCAAGUCAUCAUGCCCCUUACGCCCUGGGCUACACACGUGCUACAAUGGCCGGCACAAAGGGAUGCAAUACCGCGAGGUGGAGCUAAACCCAAAAAGCCGGUCUAAGUUCAGAUUGGAGUCUGCAACUCGACUCCAUGAAGGAGGAAUCGCUAGUAAUCGCGUAUCAGCACGACGCGGUGAAUACGUUCCCGGGCCUUGUACACACCGCCCGUCACACCACGAAAGCCAG
rnacentral:rRNA from 1 species